rnacentral:rRNA from 1 species
GACGAACGCUGGCGGCGUGCCUAAUACAUGCAAGUCGAACGAAGCUGUUUUAACUGGUGCUUGCACCGACUUAAACAACUGAGUGGCGAACGGGUGAGUAACACGUGGGUAACCUGCCCCAAAGCGGGGGAUAACAUUUGGAAACAGAUGCUAAUACCGCAUAACCACAGAAACCACAUGGUUUCUGUGUCAAAGAUGGUUUCGGCUAUCACUUUGGGAUGGACCCGCGGCGUAUUAGCUAGUUGGUAAGGUAAUGGCUUACCAAGGCAAUGGUACGUAGCCGAACUGAGAGGUUGAUCGGCCACAUGGGGACUGCGACACGGCCCAAACUCCUACGGGAGGCAGCAGUAGGGAAUCUUCCACAAUGGACGAAAGUCUGAUGGAGCAACGCCGCGUGAGUGAAGAAGGUUUUCGGAUCGUAAAACUCUGUUGUCAGAGAAGAACGUGUGCGAGAGUAACUGUUCGUGCAGUGACGGUAUCUGGCCAGAAAGCCACGGCUAACUACGUGCCAGCCGCCGCCGUAA